rnacentral:rRNA from 1 species
GAGCGGCAAACGGGUGAGUAAUGCUUCGGAAUCUGCCCAAUGGUGGGGAAUAACCAGCCGAAAGGUUGGCUAAUACCGCAUAAGCCCUACGGGGGAAAGCGGGGGAUCGCAAGACCUCGCGCCGAUGGAUGAGCCGAAGUCGGAUUAGCUAGUUGGUAGGGUAACGGCCUACCAAGGCGACGAUCCGUAGCUGGUCUGAGAGGACGACCAGCCACACUGGGACUGAGACACGGCCCAUACUCCUACGGGAGGCAGCAGUGGGGAAUAUUGGACAAUGGGGGAAACCCUGAUCCAGCGACGCCGCGUGUGUGAAGAAGGCCUGCGGGUUGUAAAGCACUUUUAGUGGGGAUGAAAAGCUCAGGGCUAAUACCUCUGGGUCUUGACCUAACCCAAAGAAAAAGCACCGGCUAACUCUGUGCCAGCAGCCGCGGUAAA